AGAUUGGAGAUGGAGGAGCAAGGACUUGAACCAGCGCUGUGAAAUGGAAUGAUGGCAUUGUAGGUAACAGCUUAGCUCAAAGUGCCAGCCUCUCCUGGUUCUUAGGCACUGCCACCUCCAGAGGCUCUGGAGUGAGGAGCUGUGUCACCUGGGGUCCCACUCCAAGGCCUGCUUUGAAGCUGAGAAGUCUGCACUGCACAGUCAAGGACAUCCUGGAUGCAAGCAUCUUGCUUGGUCCUUCUUCACCUAUAGGUGGGAUAUCCACUGAAAGAGCUCAAGAGAGGCCCCCACCCCCCAUGCCCUCUCUUAGGGACCAGGUUUCCCUUCAGCCUUGGUAUGGCAGUCCCUAGUGCCGUGGUGGCACAUGGCUUGUCUUUCUGAUUUUAAUGAUUUUUUGAAUUUAUUCUGUUUCCUACCUCAGGGAAAGGGAGGAGAGGUGAUCCUCUUGGAAAUUCAUGUAAUUGCUUUUAUUUGAUUUUUAUUAAAAUGCAUUCAGGAAUAAUGUGAUUGCCCCCUUUAUUAUGCUGUUCAUCAAUCUGGCAUGGGGAAUCAGCCUAGAAAAAUCGGUGGGCAUGGGAGGCUGGUGUGUGGAGGGUACAGCCCCACAGCAGCGUGAAUGGGGUUCACGUCACCUUGGGGAGAGAUGCUGCCUGCUCCCCCACCUUCCUCCCGCCACCAGCCUUCCAUCGCCUCUGUGCUGGACCUGCUGUCUGGGGAGGCAGAGGGAGAGAAGGGGCAUUGAGGGAGGAAUGUCCUGAGCCCAUUCUACAUGCCCUCUGAACCCCACCAUAUAUCUCUGGUCUUCCUCUGCUGCCCCUAGCCCAUUAGGAAACCUCUUCCCCACAGUCUAUGCAUGCUGGAAAAGAUAAAAUUGACCACAAUAUGUUUUAUUUAUUUUUUGCAGAUUUCUCCCAGCUUGUGCAUUGGCAGGAAAUCUGGGGUCAGGAGCCAGAACCAGGUGUCCACAGGUUCCCUGACACAAGACCCAGACACCCUAGCCUGUAGCCCAAAAGCUGACCUCCAGAGGUGGAAAUUCAGCUCUGUAGUCCUGAAGGCCCUCUGGGGACUGUUCCCACAGCUGAGUGUUCCGUAAAGGGCUUGGAGGUCUACAGAUCUCAUCAUCUGGCCUCUGAGCCUUGCCUACACUGUUCCUUCCACUGAAA